ensembl:lncRNA
AGGACAACAAAGCGGGCCUGGCUGUUUUUAGCUCUUUUUGGGGAAAGGGGGAGGAUCAAAGAAGGGUAGGACAGGGCUGGGGGCGGCUGGGAGGCAGGAAUGCCUGGCUCGGUGGCGGCUUCUAAAAAAAGCCGCGUUCCUUCGACCCUGCCGGGCGCCCGACUUUGGUCUUUUUUCUGCCUCUUCAUGGCUGAACUUGUGGAAAAGUGGCCUCGGCUUCCUCAGGCCUCCCACUCGGCAGGCAGGCCGGCCCGGCUCCCCCUCUCAGAUUUCUGUCCCCGCCCCGCUUCCUCCCAGGACAUUCUGGUGACCUCCUGAGGGCCGUCGGCCUCCGCUCGGCCCUCCUUCUGCCUAGAGCCUCCCGGGCCUCCUCUCUGUGCCCCUGCCCCUACCCCGAGGCCCUGCCAGAUCCCCUGCCCUUGGCACUGGCUCCCCUGUCCAGGGGGGCCCUUGUUCUCUGGGGCUCGGUGGGCCCUCCAGCUCGUCUUCGUCCAUGCCCUGCCCUGGGGAAGGCGCCUCCGUCCUGGCAGUCCCCCAGGCCACAGCUUUGGAGAGGAGGGGAGGACACUGAGGGUCAGAGUGGCCACAGGAUCUCUAGGUUCCGGGUUCGAAUCCUUCCUCAGCGGCACGCUUACUAGCUGUGUGUCCCUUAACCUCCCAGCACAGACGCACGCCAGGUCCUGCCUAUUGCCAGAAGACGCCCUGGGACCCAGGGAUGCCCAUUCUGCCCCUGUCCUGGAGCAGGCCAAACGGGGGGCCUGGCAGGCUCCCAAAGAAUCUAAAGCUCCCCCAAGCGAGGCGGAUCUCCCUCCAGCAGAGCCGGAGCCCCCUCACACUCCCCCCACCUCACACGGCAGAUGGUCCCCAUCAGGGCGCGAAGCAAACAAGCCAAAUAUUUCCUUCAGCCCGAGCGCGCGGCAGCCUGUCCUGCUUCACGGCUCCGUCAGCCUUGGGCACGGUUUGGGGUGACAGCCCGGCCCAAUUCCAGCUGCUCCUCCAGAAAAGGGGGAGGGGCUGUGCCACAGGGACGCGGCGCCUCCAUUGUGCCCCCCCAGACUGGCAGAGCUGAGGAAGGCAGCAAUCUGGCGGGCCCCAGUGCCCAGCCUCUAAAGGGCAGACGUCUGGUGGCAGGAAACUCACUGGGCUGCCUUCUCAAGGAGCCCUUCCCUCUUCCCUCGGUAUACAGUAUACAAGCCGUGGAGUGUGGAGUGGUUCCAAGGCAGAAGAGCAGUAAGGGGCAGACAGUGGGGGUUCUGACAUGCCAGAUUGGAACCCAGGACCUCCCGUCUCAAGGUCUGGCUCUAUCCAGUGAGCUGUCCUCUUCUUGGGCUUCUAAAGCUCAUCAGAGAUUUCGCCCCUCCCAGGACUCACCCCUCGGUCCGGCCAAACUAGCCAGCAUGUUCCUUCAUGCAGUCACUCACCUCUUCUUUCUAGCCUCAGCUCGGGUGUCUGAAGCAGGACCCCCGAUCCCAGCGCCCAAAGCUGCUCUGUCUCUGCUAGCUUCUCCUUUUCUACCUAAGUAUGAGCCAUCUCAACGCCCCCAACAGCCCCUGAGCAAUAAAUGGGUAACAACAACAACAGCAGCUAAUAUUUAUAAAGCGCUACUCCAUGCCGGGUACCGGACUAAGCACUUUGUGAUUAUUAUCUCAUUUGAUCUCACCACCACCUUGGAAGGCAUGCAGAGCCCCAUUUUACAGAUGAGGACCCUGAGGCAAAUAGAUGUUAAGUGA